GAUGAACGCUGGCGGCGUGCCUAAUACAUGCAAGUCGAGCGAACGGACGAGAAGCUUGCUUCUCUGAUGUUAGCGGCGGACGGGUGAGUAACACGUGGAUAACCUACCUAUAAGACUGGGAUAACUUCGGGAAACCGGAGCUAAUACCGGAUAAUAUUUUGAACCGCAUGGUUCAAAAGUGAAAGACGGUCUUGCUGUCACUUAUAGAUGGAUCCGCGCUGCAUUAGCUAGUUGGUAAGGUAACGGCUUACCAAGGCAACGAUGCAUAGCCGACCUGAGAGGGUGAUCGGCAACACUGGAACUGAGAAACGGUCCAGACACCUACGGGAGGCAGCAGUAGGGAAUCUUCCGAAAUGGGCGAAAGCCUGACGGAGCAACGCCGCGUGAGUGAUGAAGGUCUUCGGAUCGUAAAACUCUGUUAUUAGGGAAGAACAUAUGUGUAAGUAACUGUGCACAUCUUGACGGUACCUAAUCAGAAAGCCACGGCUAACUACGU
rnacentral:rRNA from 1 species